UACGUAGGUGGCAAGCGUUGUCCGGAUUUAUUGGGUUUAAAGGGUGCGUAGGCGGUCUAUUAAGUCAGUGCUGAAAUAUCCCGGCUUAACCGGGAGGGUGGCAUUGAUACUGAUGGACUUGAGUGCAGUCGAGGUAGGCGGAAUUGACGGUGUAGCGGUGAAAUGCUUAGAUAUCGUCAAGAACACCGAUAGUGAAGACAGCUUACUAGACUGUAACUGACGCUGAGGCACGAAAGUGUGGGGAUCAAACAGGG
rnacentral:rRNA from 1 species